UAAGCGGAGGAGAAGAAACUAACCAGGAUUUCCCUAGUAACGGCGAGCGAACCGGAAAGAGCCCAGCUUGAAAAUCGCGGCGCUGCGCGCCGCGAGUUGUAGUCUGGAGAAGCAUCCUCUGCAGCGCACCGGACCCAAGUUCCCUGGAAAGGGACGUCAGAGAGGGUGACAACCCCGUCGAGUCCGGACCCCGUGCUGCUCCACGAGGUGCUGUCGUCGAGUCGAGCUGUUUGGGAAUGCAGCUCUAAGUGGGUGGUAAAUUCCAUCCAAGGCUAAAUAUUGGCAGGAGACCGAUAGCGAACAAGUACCGCGAGGGAAAGAUGAAAAGGACUUUGAAAAGAGAGUUAAAGAGUGCUUGAAAUUGCUGGGAGGGAAGCGAAUGGAAGCUGCGGGUGYGGCCCGGUUGGAUGUGGAACGGCCCUUGGGGGCUGGUCCGCCGCUCAACGCGGGGCACUGGUCAGCGUGGGCCAUCGCGGCGGGACAAGAGCGGGGUGUAGUUCCCCGCCUAUGCCGUUGUGGUGGCCGAUGAACGAAGCGUGCGCCCCCCCUUCUUCUGGGGGCGGKGGCGUGGACCCUGUGUCCAACUGCACGCUCGGGACGCUGGCGUAUUGAGCUCUUCAUCCGACCCGUCUUGAAACACGGACCAAGGAGUCUAACAUGUAUGCGAGCCGGUGGGCGGCAAACCCAUUGAGGCGCAAGUAAACUGACAGGUGGGACCCCCCUAACGAGGGAGCACCAUCGACCGACCGUGAUCUUCUGUGAAAGGUUUGAGUGUGAGCAUACCUGUUGGGACCCGAAAGAUGGUGAACUAUGCCUGARCAGGGCGAAGCCAGAGGAAACUCUGGUGGAGGCUCGUAUCGAUACUGACGUGCAAAUCGUUCGUCAGACUUGGGUAUAGGGGCGAAAGACUAAUCGAACCAUCUAGUAGCUGGUUCCCUCCGAAGUUUCCCUCAGGAUAGCUGGAGCUCGUGUGACUCAGUUUUAUCAGGUAAAGCGAAUGAUUAGAGGCAUCGGGGGUGUAACACCCUCGACCUAUUCUCAAACUUUAAAUAGGUAAGCCGCCGGGGUUGCUUGGUUGAACCCCGGCACAGAAUGAGAGCUCCAAGUGGGCCAUUUUUGGUAACA
rnacentral:rRNA from 1 species